GGUCCUGUGGUGUAGGGGUUAGCACUUCGGAUUCUGAUCGGUUCAGAGCAUUCCGGCGACCCCGGUUCGAGUAAGCGCAAAUCCA